GCGCCCAUAGCUCAAUUGGAUAGAGCACCAGGCUUCGAACCUGGGGGUUCGGGGUUCGAGUCCCUGUGGGCGCGCCA
rnacentral:tRNA from 1 species